UUCUUUCUUUAUCUCUUCACACUGGCGAACCCCAUCUACGAAACCCCUCCUCGCCUUCUCUUCUGAUCCUCUUCACUUUCGCCUCCGCAUCCCAUUGAUCGAUCGCUCCUCCUCUCCUACGCCGUAGAACCCUAAUCUCAAGAUCUCAUCAUGAAGAGGGGGAAAUCAAAGACUGACGCUCCCAAGAAGGCUGAUACCAAGCUUUCGGUGAAGAAGGGACCGGAACGAGCGGCGAAGAAGCCAAGGAAGUUCAAAGAUGGCAAGGAUCCCAACACGCCCAAGAGGCCUCAGAGUGCCUUCUUCGUCUUCAUGGAAGAAUUUUGGAAGAUGUUCAAGGAAAAGAACCCUAAUAACAAGUCAGUUGCAGUGGUUGCAAAAGCUGGAGGAGACAAGUGGAAAUCUUUGACAGAAGAAAGAAAGCUCCAUACGUAGCCAAGGCGGCAAAGCUCAAAGCUGGUUACACCAAAACCAUGGUUUCCUACAACAAAAGCCAGUCUGGUGGAGGAGGAGGAAGUUGUGCUGCUGCCACAGAUGAAGCAGAAGAAGAAGGUGAGGAAUCCGACAAGUCAAAAUCCAAGGUGAAUGAUGAUGAUGAUGAAGAAGAGGUUUGAAAUCUAAUAAUAAUAAAAAAGAAGCUAUUUUCCACAUUAUGUCUCUAUAAAUAAAACAUUGUUGAACGAUGAAUAGGAUGAAGAGGAUGAUGAAUAAGGGAAUUGCAUCUGCAACUCAAGAUUAUCUCUUUUCCUUUCCAUUUUUUCCCUUGUUGUAGUUUUAAUUUGGACCCGAAGAAAUCGUAAAAAUUAUCAACUUUUCAUUAUCUUCUCUAAUGGUAAAAGUCCGAACUAUCCUAAUGUACUUAACUUUUGUCUAACUUGAUCUAAUCUAGUUCCAAUUUAUCUUGCUCUAAGUGCAGUGAUCUUUGCUUAAAGUAGUGCUUUCAGUCCUUUACAGGAA